rnacentral:rRNA from 1 species
CCUACGGGAGGCAGCAGUAGGGAAUAUUGCUCAAUGGGGGAAACCCUGAAGCAGCAACGCCGCGUGGAGGAUGAAGGUUUUCGGAUUGUAAACUCCUUUUGUUAGAGAAGAUAAUGACGGUAUCUAACGAAUAAGCACCGGCUAACUCCGUGCCAGCAGCCGCGGUAAUACGGAGGGUGCAAGCGUUACUCGGAAUCACUGGGCGGAAAGAGCGCGGAGGCGGGAUAGAAAGUCAGAUGUGAAAUCCUAUGGCUUAACCAUAGAACUGCAUUUGAAAAUGUUAUUCUAGAGUAUGGGAGAGGUAGGUGGAAUUCUUGGUGUAGGGGUAAAAUCCGUAGAGAUCAAGAGGAAUACUCAUUGCGAAGGCGACCUGCUAGAACAUAACUGACGCUGAUGCGCGAAAGCGUGGGGAGCAAACAGGAUUAGAUACCCUUGUAGUC